UACGUAGGGGGCAAGCGUUGUCCGGAUUUAUUGGGCGUAAAGAGCGUGUAGGCGGCCAGACAGGUCCGUUGUGAAAACUCGAGGCUCAACCUCGAGACGCCGAUGGAAACCGUCUGGCUAGAGUCCGGAAGAGGCGAGUGGAAUUCCCGGUGUAGGCGGUGAAAUGCGCAGAUAUCGGGAGGAACACCAAUGGCGAAGGCAGCUCGCUGGGACGUGACUGACGCUGAGACGCGAAAGCGUGGGGAGCAAACAGG
rnacentral:rRNA from 1 species